UGCGGGGUAGAGCAGUUUGGUAGCUCGCCGGGCUCAUAACCCGGAGGUCGUUGGUUCAAAUCCUUCCCCCGCGACCA
rnacentral:tRNA from 1 species